rnacentral:pre_miRNA from 1 species
AGCCCUCUGCAUCCGCGCCGAGAUUUCGCCAAAUACCAGACCACAAGGGCUGAUGAGACUUCCAAGAUAAGUGAAGUG